UAACAAGAGGCUGUCACAACGACAGCAAACCGGAUUUAUUAAUAUUUAUUUGUGUCCUGGCAAUAUCACAAGAACCAUUACUGAUGAAUGGUGAAAGUGAAAAUCGUCAAUAUCAAAUUUGGCCUCCAUUUUGUCAUCAGUAUCAACAUAUUAAAAUUUGAAAUCUUAGAUUGAAUGGUUCAUGAGUAAAUGCAACAACGUGAAUGGAAACACCAUUUUACAAUCUUUCAAGAACCAUAACGCCUGAACGGUAAAAGUCAAAAUCGUCAUUAUUGAACUUGACCUCUAUUUUGUCAUCAGUAACAACAUAUAAAAAUUUCAAAAGCUUUGGUUGAAUGGUUCAUGAUAAAAUGCACGGACACGACUGGAAACACCAUUUUUCAAUCUUUCAAGAACCAUAACUCCUGAACGGUAAAGGUCAAAAUCGUCAUUAUUGAACUUGACUUCUAUUUUGUCAUCAGUUACAACAUAUUAAAAUUUGGGAAGCUUUGGUAGAACAGUUCAUGCAUAAAUGCACGGACACAACUGGAAACUCCAUUUUUCAAUCUUUCAAAAACCAUAACUCCUGAACGGUAAAAGUCAAAAUCGUCAUUAUUUAUCUUGACCUCCAUUUUGUCAUCAGUAACAACAUAUUAAAAUUUGGGAAGCUUUGGUAGAACAGUUCAUGCGUAAAUGCACGGACACGACUGAAAACUCCAUUUUUCAAUCUUUCAAGAACCAUAACUCCUGAACGGUAAAAGUCAAAAUCACCAUUAUUGAACUUGACCUUCAUUUAGUUGUCAGUAACAACAUAUUAAAAUUUUAAAAGCUUUGGACGAACGGUUCAUGAGUUAAUGCACGGACAACAUUUGAUUGCCGCCCGCCCGACCGCCCGACUGCCCGACUGCCCGACCGCCCGGCCGCCCGGCCGCCCGCC
rnacentral:lncRNA from 1 species